rnacentral:rRNA from 1 species
AAUAGAUACCCUGGUAGUCCACGCCGUAAACGAUGAGUGCUAAGUGUUAGAGGGUUUCCGCCCUUUAUUGCUGCAGCUAACGCAUUAAGCACUCCGCCUGGGGAGUACGGUCGCAAGACUGAAACUCAAAGGAAUUGACGGGGGCCCGCACAAGCGGUGGAGCAUGUGGUUUAAUUCGAAGCAACGCGAAGAACCUUACCAGGUCUUGACAUCCUUUGCCGCUUCUAGAGAUAGAAGGUUCCCCUUCGGGGGACAAAGUGACAGGUGGUGCAUGGUUGUCGUCAGCUCGUGUCGUGAGAUGUUGGGUUAAGUCCCGCAACGAGCGCAACCCUUGAUCUUAGUUGCCAGCAUUCAGUUGGGCACUCUAAGGUGACUGCCGGUGACAAACCGGAGGAAGGUGGGGAUGACGUCAAAUCAUCAUGCCCCUUAUGACCUGGGCUACACACGUGCUACAAUGGAUGGUACAAAGGGCUGCGAGACCGCGAGGUUUAGCCAAUCCCAUAAAACCAUUCUCAGUUCGGAUUGCAGGCUGA